rnacentral:rRNA from 1 species
AACGAACGCUGGCGGCAGGCCUAACACAUGCAAGUCGAACGCCGUAGCAAUACGGAGUGGCAGACGGGUGAGUAACACGUGGGAACGUACCCUUCGGUUCGGAAUAACUCAGGGAAACUUGAGCUAAUACCGGAUACGUCCGAGAGGAGAAAGAUUUAUCGCCGAGGGAUCGGCCCGCGUCUGAUUAGCUUGUUGGUGAGGUAACGGCUCACCAAGGCGACGAUCAGUAGCUGGUCNGAGAGGAUGAUCAGCCACAUUGGGACUGAGACACGGCCCAAACUCCUACGGGAGGCAGCAGUGGGGAAUAUUGGACAAUGGGCGCAAGCCUGAUCCAGCCAUGCCGCGUGAGUGAUGAAGGCCCUA